rnacentral:rRNA from 1 species
ACUGCCGGUGACAAACCGGAGGAAGGUGGGGAUGACGUCAAGUCAUCAUGGCCCUUACGGCCUGGGCUACACACGUGCUACAAUGGUCGGUACAGAGGGUUGCCAAGCCGCGAGGUGGAGCUAAUCUCACAAAACCGAUCGUAGUCCGGAUCGCAGUCUGCAACUCGACUGCGUGAAGUCGGAAUCGCUAGUAAUCGCGAAUCAGAAUGUCGCGGUGAAUACGUUCCCGGGCCUUGUACACACCGCCCGUCACACCAUGGGAGUGGGUUGCACCAGAAGUAGCUAGUCUAACCUUCGGGAGGACGGUUACCACGGUGUGAUUCA